rnacentral:rRNA from 1 species
CCUACGGGUGGCAGCAGUGAGGAAUAUUGGUCAAUGGGCGUAAGCCUGAACCAGCCAAGUCGCGUGAGGGAUGAAGGCUCUAUGGAUCGUAAACUUCUUUUAUAAGGGAAUAAAGUGCGGCACGUGUGCCGUUUUGUAUGUACCUUAUGAAUAAGGAUCGGCUAACUCCGUGCCAGCAGCCGCGGGAAUACGGAGGAUCCGAGCGUUAUCCGGAUUUAUUGGGUUUAAAGGGAGCGUAGGGGGUCUUUUAAGUCAGCGGUGAAAGUCUGUGGCUCAACCGUAGAAUUGACUUUGAAACUGGCAGGCUUGAGUAUGGUUGAGGCAGGCGGAAUGCGUGGUGUAGCGGUGAAAUGCUUAGAUAUCACGCAGAACCCCGAUUGCGAAGGCAGCCUACCAAACCGUGACUGACGCUGAUGCUCGAAAGCGUGGGGAUCAAACAGGAUUAGAUACCCCUGUAGUC